rnacentral:tRNA from 1 species
GCUCCGAUCGUCUAGACCGGUCAAGGAUACCGGACUUUCAAUCCGGCGACCCGGGUUCAAAUCCCGGUCGGAGCA